rnacentral:rRNA from 1 species
GUAAUCCUACGGGAGGCAGCAGUGGGGAAUAUUGCACAAUGGGGGAAACCCUGAUGCAGCGACGCCGCGUGAGUGAGGAAGUAUUUCGGUAUGUAAAGCUCUAUCAGCAGGGAAGAAAAUGACGGUACCUGACUAAGAAGCCCCGGCUAACUACGUGCCAGCAGCCGCGGUAAUACGUAGGGGGCAAGCGUUAUCCGGAUUUAUUGGGUUUAAAGGGUGCGUAGGCGGGCUGUUAAGUCAGCGGUCAAAUGUCGGGGCUCAACCCCGGCCUGCCGUUGAAACUGGCGGCCUCGAGUGGGCGAGAA